rnacentral:lncRNA from 10 species
GUAGUGUUGGGUGAAUCUGACUGGGGCAUUGCAGCUGCCUCUCCCGCCGAGUUGGAGACGGAUGGGCUGGGACGGGUUUUGGGGGGGUGUCCCCAAUUCUGACUGGGAGUGGAGGAACCCCUCCUGAGAUCUCUUGUGGGGGUGCCCCCUCCCCAGGGCACUCCCCAGUCCCUGAGCCAGCCGAGAGGAAGGAGGCCAGCGAUGCGACUGGGGCGGCUCCUUUCUCCUGCACCCCAAAUGUGAGGGAUGCACCCUAAAUUUUGCUCUUUUCAAAAUAGGGGACCAGGAUCUCAGGGGAGAGUAGCUGAGGCCUUGCUCGGAGUCCCAGGAGAUCCACAGGUCCGGCAUGAACAGUGAGAGGUCAGAGGUGGAAGGCUCAGCAGGAGAGGAGAGGAGGAUCAGCAGAGGUCAUGAGAAGGCCAGAAUCCAGGGUCAGGCUGUCUGGAACAGGAAGUAAAAUGGGCCGAGAUGGAGCGAGCCCCCAGUGUGCUUCCAAGGCCACUCCCACCUCCCUGAAACACCCUGCUACGUACUGAUCCAAUGCCCUGCGCUGUGUAUGAGAGCACCUUCUCUUCUGAAACCCCUAUACAAGGGAGGGGCCCCUGCGGAGACCGUGCCCUGCCAUCCAGGUGAGCCCUUUCUCCCCAACCCCGUCAGCUGUGUGGGAGGAGGAGGACUCCUACCCUGGUCGAAGUUGAGUUUCUUAGCUGGAGGAGUUUCUCCUAGCCCUUCAAUAUCCACCACGUCACUGUUGGCAUCGGAGUCGUUCAGAGCACUGAGUGUCACAUCUGGGAAGGGGGCAUAAGCUAGGUUCUAGGUUCCCCUGACAGCCUCUCCCCCAGCCCCAAGCUUCCCAAAGCUUUGUGCCUCCUCUCCCCUCCCCUCUGCCCCUCUCUGGGAACCUCCACAGGGACAGGAAGAGAGACUGACCCUUCUUUGACCCAGGCCCAAUUCUCUCACUAAACCUCAGAUGGGACCUUUAACCCCUAGGCAGCAACUCCACAGCCCUCACCAGCCUUCUGUUUCUUUAUGGGGGGACCCCCGGUCCUCAAGGGGAUUCUAAAAAACUAGUGACAAAGUAGGGAAGCAGCUGAGCUGGAAAGGAGUUCUGAGGACGAUGGAACCUUGGGUAAGGAGGAAGAAGGCUGCCCACCCGCCCUUUUCUGGCAGCCACCCUCCCUCACACUGUCCGUUCCUUGAUGACACAGCUGAUGUGAUUAAGAUCGUCCCCAAAUCGCUUCACAGCAGCCCUCA